UGCCAGACUCCUACGGGAGGCAGCAGUGGGGAAUAUUGCACAAUGGGGGAAACCCUGAUGCAGCGACGCCGCGUGAGUGAAGAAGUAUCUCGGUACGUAAAGCUCUAUCAGCAGGGAAGAUAAUGACGGUACCUGACCAAGAAGCCCCAGCUAACUACGUGCCAGCAGCCGCGGUAAUACGUAGGGGGCGAGCGUUAUCCGGAUUCACUGGGUGUAAAGGGAGCGUAGACGGCCAUGCAAGCCAGGGGUGAAAGCCCGGGGCCCAACCCCGGGACUGCCCUUGGAACUGCAUGGCUGGAGUGCGGGAGGGGCAGGCGGAAUUCCUGGUGUAGCGGUGAAAUGCGUAGAUAUCAGGAGGAACACCAGUGGCGAAGGCGGCUUACUGGACUGUAACUGACGUUGAGGCUCGAAAGCGUGGGGAGCAAACAGGAUUAGAUACCCCAGUAACA
rnacentral:rRNA from 1 species